rnacentral:rRNA from 1 species
GAUGAACGCUGGCGGCGUGCCUAAUACAUGCAAGUCGAGCGAUGCGAGGAUGGGUGACUAACACGUGGAUGACCACCUAUAAGACUGGCAUAACUACGGGGCACCGGAGAUAAACCCGACCCUUAAAGUUGGAUCCGCGCUGCAUUAGCCAGUUGGUAAGGUAACGGCAUACCAAGGCUACGAUGCCUCGCCGACCCGAGAGGGUGAUCGGCCACACUGGAACUGAGACACGGUCAGGACGCCGAAGGGAGGCAGCAGUAGGGAAUCUUCCGCAAAGGGCGAAAGCAUGACGGAGCGACGCCGCGGGAAUGAUGAAGGUCUUCGGAUCGUAAAACUCUGUUAUUAGGGAAGCGGUACCGAAUCAGAAAGCCACGGCUAACUACGAGCCAGCAGCGGCGGUAAUUC